rnacentral:rRNA from 1 species
CCUACGGGUGGCAGCAGUGAGGAAUAUUGGUCAAUGGACGAGAGUCUGAACCAGCCAAGUAGCGUGAAGGAUGACUGCCCUAUGGGUUGUAAACUUCUUUUAUAUGGGAAUAAAAUGUUCCACGUGUGGGAUUUUGUAUGUACCAUAUGAAUAAGGAUCGGCUAACUCCGUGCCAGCAGCCGCGGUAAUACGGAGGAUCCGAGCGUUAUCCGGAUUUAUUGGGUUUAAAGGGAGCGUAGGUUGAUUGUUAAGUCAGUUGUGAAAGUGUGCGGCUCAACCGUAAAAUUGCAGUUGAAACUGGCAGUCUUGAGUACAGUAGAGGUGGGCGGAAGUCGUGGUGUAGCGGUGAAAUGCUUAGAUAUCACGAAGAACGCCGAUUGCGAAGGCAGUUCACUGGACUGCAACUGACACUGAGGCUCGAAAGUGUGGGUAUCAAACAGGAUUAGAUACCCCUGUAGUC